rnacentral:rRNA from 1 species
CCGACGGUGAGAGGUGAAAGCUGGGGGCACGAACCGGAUUAGAUACCCGGGUAGUCCCAGCCGUAAACGAUGCUCGCUAGGUGUCAGGCAUGGCGCGACCGUGUCUGGUGCCGCAGGGAAGCCGUGAAGCGAGCCACCUGGGAAGUACGGCCGCAAGGCUGAAACUUAAAGGAAUUGGCGGGGGAGCACAACAACGGGUGGAGCCUGCGGUUUAAUUGGACUCAACGCCGGACAACUCACCGGGGGCGACAGCAAUAUGUAGGCCAAGCUGAAGACUUUGCCUGAAUCGCUGAGAGGAGGUGCAUGGCCGUCGCCAGUUCGUACUG